ensembl:lncRNA
AUCAAAGGCUCAUAAUUAUCUUUCUACCCUGUUCUAAAAAAAUAAGUGUGCCGUGGGCACUACCGGAAGGGGCGGGCCUUCGCCCAAGUUUUCCCGCUUCUCAGUUUGGGGCGGAAUCAACUGAACAAUAGAAUCUCGGAUCUCCAUUUUUGUGCCAUUCAAGUGAAUGUGACGAUUGAUCUGGAUUCAAGCUGUAGGCCGACCAGUCAGAUGAGUAACUCAGUGGAGGAAGAGGACUUUGCGGAUAUCAGGAGCUACUUUUCCACAACAAAAUGGAACCGCCUCUGAAUGGCAGAGAAAAAAAGAUUCCUGCAGAUCAUGGAAAACCAUUUGGUUAUGUCAUCUCUUGCCUUCAUGAGGAGAGAGAAGCCCGGCCAGGUGAGAGUCUGCUCACCUGAGACAGACUCUGAGGAGGAGCAGCUCUGGACCUCUUGAUUGACCAGUACAAAGACAUUUCUGGAAGGAGUUCCCAUGCUUAAGGAGUGCUGGGUGUUGCUGCUGAGAAGAGACAGAUGGGGUAGCAUCAGCAUCUCUCCCACUUGUUGGAUUGUGUGUGUGUGUGUGUGUGUGUGUGUGUGUGUGUGUGUGUGUGUUCUGG